UAUGGAAAAACUCAGUGCAUCUACCUACUAGCACAGACUGUUGACUGUUGUACCCAAGGGUAAGAUCCCCUUGAGACUGAAAAUUCUCUUGGAUAUCAGUUGAAGUUUCGUCAAGUGUACGUAGUAGUCCUAGUACCCUGCCAACAAACAGUCCCUGACAAUGAGGCUUCUUCUGGCAGUUCUUGUGGCUUCCCUGCUUUUUGCAGUUGCUUCCUCACAGCCAGCUCCUGUUUUUCUGAAGAAAAGGGAUAUAAGCCAACUAGGUGCUGGUGGCAGUUUUCGUGCAGUUACUGGGGGUAGUUUUCUGAAAACGGCUAUGAGACAAUUAGAUCUUGGUGGCAGUCGUAGUGGCCAUCAUGGUGGUGGUAAGCA